AUGUAUUUCUUGGGGCUCAGGGGGUCUGGGGUCAUCCUUCCUGCCUCUGGAGAGUCAGCUUCAGAAGCCUCAGUCCUGGCCUCUCUCCAUCCCAGACCUGUGUUUCCAGUCAUUUCCUCACCUGUCCUUGGAUGUGUCAUCCCCACCCCAGACUCGCAGGUCCUUUACAUCUCCUCUUGCCCCCUGUGCCCAGAGGCCCACCUCCUGCCAGUGGUGGCUGCUCAUUUUCCUGAUCCCAUCACCUGGGUCCAAAAUCCCAUCACUUCUGAAAGAAGGGGCACAUGGCGGGCCAGGGGAGCCCUGCUCCAUGGUGGGAGCUGGGUCAAGCCCCUAGGGACCCCUAUGACCUGGGGCCUUGGUUUCCCUUCUGUGAGCUGUGGCCCGUCUAUUCCAGGCAGCGGGGGAGAUGGAGGAUGUGAUAUGAGAUACAGUGCAGUGUGUGAGAUACUCUUCCCGGGAGCUGGGUGUCCUGCACUGCCGUCCACCCUCCAUUCUCCAUUUGUGUGCCCAUGGCUGUCACUAGCAUUCAAAGGCUCUAACUGCCUUCACAAGGGUCCCUCCAGCCCUUCGGCACUGUGUCCAGAAUGGCCCGUGGGUAGGGCAACCCUGAACUUUGCCAAGCCACUCCCUGCUCAGAACCCUCCAGGGCUGAUCAUCACUCAUCACUUACCCCAGACACCAGGGCGUCCUGCACUUGAAGGCCUUUGCCAUGUCCUCCGUAUCCUCUCAUGGGGAUGCCCUGGGCCCCUGGCCUCUCUCUCAGAGUCUCCAGGUCAGUCAGCGUGCAAGCUCCGGGAAACAUGAGCUCAGCUGCCCUGCCCCAGGGAGGGGCGGGAUCGUGGUGGACACGACCCAUGACCUCAUCUCUCCUGGCUCCAGGCAGCAGCCCUGCCCACCUCUGGAGAAUUCCAUG
rnacentral:lncRNA from 1 species